CAAUUGUUUUAAAAUUAUUCAAAAAAUAUUGCUACUAUUGUGCAGUUGGACUAAAGAAGUUUAUCUUAGUACCACUUUAAAGAGUUAAAAAAUAUUAGAAAUUUUGUUCAAUUGGAAACAUAGGGCCAUCUGGUUACAGUUGUACCUAACGAAGAGAUCUUUUAAACGUGACUUUCGUAUAUCCAAAUCCGUUGUGUGUGCUGCAAAAGUAAGUAGAUUCGCCGUAUAAGUACAGUUAAAAAAGGGAGCAAAGCCCUGAUGAUGGGUUACAAGCGCAAUAUCAGUCCUGUAAGCUUUGCACGUAGUGAUAGGUCACUUUU